rnacentral:rRNA from 1 species
AGUGAACGCUGGCGGUAGGCCUAACACAUGCAAGUCGAACGGCAGCACAGUAAGAGCUUGCUCUUACGGGUGGCGAGUGGCGAACGGGUGAGGAAUACAUCGGAAUCUACUUUUUCGUGGGGGAUAACGUAGGGAAACUUACGCUAAUACCGCAUACGACCUACGGGUGAAAGCAGGGGAUCUUCGGACCUUGCGCGAUUGAAUGAGCCGAUGUCGGAUUUGCUAGUUGGCGGGGUAAAGGCCCACCAAGGCGACGAUCCGUAGCUGGUCUGAGAGGAUGAUCAGCCACACUGGAACUGAGACACGGUCCAGACUCCUACGGGAGGCAGCAGUGGGGAAUAUUGGACAAUGGGCGCAAGCCUGAUCCAGCCAUACCGCGUGGGUGAAGAAGGCCUUCGGGUUGUAAAGCCCUUUUGUUGGGAAAGAAAAGCAGCAGGUUAAUACCCCGCUGUUCUGACGGUACCCAAAGAAUAAGCACCGGCUAACUUCGUG